AGAGCAAGCCAGACGAUCGCGCCGGUUUUCCGUACAGCGAGGGCCGGUGAGGAAAGUCCGGGCUCCAUAGGGCAAGGGUGCCGGCUAACGGCCGGCGCGGGCAACCGUAGGGAAAGUGCAACAGAAACAUACCGCCAAAGCCGGAUUUUCCGGCCGGUAAGGGUGAAAUGGUGCGGUAAGAGCGCACCGGCGUCUUGGAGACAAGGCGGCCGUGAAAACCCCACCCGGAGCAAGGCAGAGGGGAGAGACCCCGCGAGAGCGGGACACCGGCCCGGUGUGAUCCCCAGUAGGUAGCCGCAAGCGGGCGUCUGUGAUGGCGCCCCGGAGGCGGGCGGCAACGUCCGUCCCAGAUAGAUGAUCGUCCACGACAGAACCCGGCUUACGGCUUGCUCGAUUU
rnacentral:RNase_P_RNA from 1 species